rnacentral:rRNA from 1 species
GACGAACGCUGGCGGCGUGCUUAACACAUGCAAGUCGAACGAAGAGCGAUGGAAGCUUGCUUCUAUCAAUCUUAGUGGCGAACGGGUGAGUAACGCGUAAUCAACCUGCCCUUCAGAGGGGGACAACAGUUGGAAACGACUGCUAAUACCGCAUACGAUCUAAUCUCGGCAUCGAGGAAAGAUGAAAGGUGGCCUCUAUUUAUAAGCUAUCACUGAAGGAGGGGAUUGCGUCUGAUUAGCUAGUUGGAGGGGUAACGGCCCACCAAGGCGAUGAUCAGUAGCCGGUCUGAGAGGAUGAACGGCCACAUUGGGACUGAGACACGGCCCAGACUCCUACGGGAGGCAGUAGUGGGGAAUCUUCCGCAAUGGACGAAAGUCUGACGGAGCAACGCCGCGUGAGUGAUGACGGCCUUCGGGUUGUAAAGCUCUGUUAAUCGGGACGAAAGGCCUUCUUGCGAACAGUUAGAAGGAUUGACGGUACCGGAAUAGAAAGCCACGGCUAACUACGUG